AAGAUUUUAGGUUAAAUGAAACCUUAAACCUUCAAAGUUUAAAUAAUAAACUCAGUUUUAUAAAUCUUA
rnacentral:tRNA from 1 species